GUGAAAUCCUAACUUUGCCACUUACUAGCCAUGUGAACUUGGGCAAGUGACCUAAUCCUCUGCAUUUCAUCUCUAAAUUGGGGAGAAUAGAAGCAUCUACUUCAUGUAGUAGCCAGGAUUAGAAGAGAUGGGGCCACUUGAGGGAAAAGACCUACCCAAGGGCACAUAAUCUGUACAUGAGAGAGAGCCAGAUGUAACAGACUGAGUACUGGACUUGGGGUUAAACAGACUGUGAAUCUUUCCACCCCAUUGGCAAGAAUAACUGGGCCCUGGAUAGAAUGUGAUGAAUGUAUAUUCUUAAUGAGAAGUGGAAAUAAUUUGUGGUUGAGAGCUGUGCCUCAGAUCAGAGUGACAGGAUACAUGGCUAGGCUAUAUUUUCCAGCAGAUUAAGAGCUGCGGCCCAAGACUCUGAAAUAUGAAGAAAAAAGGAGAAGAUGACAGCAUAUCUUUUUAAAGAAAUAUUUUCCAGCCAAAUGGUGUAGCAGAGGACUUCCAGGAAUUUGUUCUUGUUCUGUAUCAAAGGUGAAGAGUUCGUAGCCUUCAAGGAAACAAGAAACCAUGGGAUGGAGUGAAGGAAGGUGGCCUGGAACCAGCUGCUGAGCCUCUCUGAGCCCCAGUUUCCUCGUCUCUAAAAUGGGGCUGAUCUCCUCUCCCUCAGACUGUUGUUGCAGGAAUUAAAACAGGUGUUGAGUGGGAAAGCAUCAGUCCCAUAGCAAAUGGCCCCUGAGUAGUAGGAUCUGAGUUCUGGUUCUGGUCCUGCUGGGGUAUGGCUGGUUGAGAGGUCAAAGAGGUCUGGCUAAAUGCAUGAGGAUUAAAUUCCUUAUCUAUCAGGAUCCCAUUGGCUCUCGGAUGCUUUGUGGUUCCCUCCAUCCAGAAGAUUAACUACUCCUUUUGACCAAGACUGGCCUAAUGUGGCUGAUUUUUUUUUCUGAGAAGAUGCUGCUCACUUAUGCCCCCCAUCUUUCAACUGUCUCACUGGCCACUCCACAUUCUCCCUAAUGGGGGCCCUGCAGCAGCCUCUGCUUGGCCCCCCUGCCUCCCAUCUGGCCCCCUCCAACCCACUCUCCACAUUGAAGCCAGAUUUAGUUUUUUUGCCAAAUCCAGCCAUGUCACUCGCCUAUCUAAA
rnacentral:lncRNA from 1 species